AACGGCCGUACCACGCUGAAUAUACCGGUUCUCGUUCGAUCACCGAAGUCAAGCAUCAUUGGGCGCGGUCAGUACUUGGGUGGGUGACCACCUGGGAACACUGCGUGCCGUU
rnacentral:rRNA from 1 species